UGGGGAGUCGUCUAAUGGUAGGACAGCUGCCUUUGAAGCAGUGAAUCGGGGUCCGAAUCCCUGCUCCCCAG
rnacentral:tRNA from 1 species